UAAUCAGUAAUGGAAUCAUUCACCCAACUUAAACUCACAUUUUAGCUUAUUCUGCAAAAUCCAUGCCAAAACCCGUAAGCAGUUUCCAGCAUCAAUAUCCAAACUUCAAACGCAUUUUUUGAAUCCAUUUCUAAUCCAAAACAUACCAAAUUUAUAUCCAAACUGAAGGGAAUUAAGUGUAGAAUCCGAAACUCCAACAAUUACACAAAUCUGGGCUACACAGCAACCGCUAUGAAUUUCUUGUACUUGCAAGAAAGAAUUGAAAGAAUAGAAUUUGGGGCUUAGGGCUGUAACAUAAAUUAAAUAUGAGAGAGUUUCCUAAGUUGAUUUGACUUGCAUGUUGCAAUUGAGUGAAGAUUGAUAAGCUUCAAGAUGUUGUUGAAGAUGAAUUUGAGCUAAACUUGAUUUCCUUCAAACAUCAGUGUUUGCGAGGUAAUAAAUGGAAGAGCAGUAGCUGAAACAUUAUUAAAAUCGAAAACAAUGGAAC
rnacentral:lncRNA from 1 species